GCCCUAUAUCCACAAGAUCUGAGUGGUCACUUGCUUUUGAGAACAAGAUAGGGUGU
rfam:Lactobacillus salivarius TCC118 plasmid pMP118, complete sequence.